rnacentral:rRNA from 1 species
GCUAGUACCGCAUAAGCCCACGGGUCGGCAUCGACCAGAGGGAAAAGGAGCAAUCCGCUUUGAGAUGGCCUCGCGUCCGAUUAGCUAGUUGGUGAGGUAACGGCCCACCAAGGCGACGAUCGGUAGCCGGACUGAGAGGUUGAACGGCCACAUUGACUGAGACACGGCCCAGACUCCUACGGGAGGCAGCAGUGGGGAAUAUUGCACAAUGGGGGAAACCCUGAUGCAGCGACGCCGCGUGGAGGAAGAAGGUCUUCGGAUUGUAAACUCCUGUUGUUGAGGAAGAUAAUGACGGUACUCAACAAGGAAGUGACGGCUAACUACGUGCCAGCAGCCGCGGUAAAACGUAGGUCACAAGCGUUGUCCGGAAUUACUGGGUGUAAAGGGAGCGCAGGCGGGAAGACAAGUUGGAAGUGAAAUCCAUGGGCUUAACCCAUGAACUGCUUUCAAAACUGUUUUUCUUGAGUAGUGCAGAGGUAGGCGGAAUUCCCGGUGUAGCGGUGGAAUGCGUAGAUAUCGGGAGGAACACCAGUGGCGAAGGCGGCCUACUGGGCACCAACUGACGCUGAGGCUCGAAAGUGUGGGUAGCAAACAGGAUUAGAUACCCUGGUAGUCCACACCGUAAACGAUGAUUACUAGGUGUUGGAGGAUUGACCCCUUCAGUGCCGCAGUUAACACAAUAAGUAAUCCACCUGGGGAGUACGACCGCAAGGUUGAAACUCAAAGGAAUUGACGGGGGCCCGCACAAGCAGUGGAGUAUGUGGUUUAAUUCGACGCAACGCGAAGAACCUUACCAAGUCUUGACAUCCUGUGACAGACGUAGAAAUACGUUCUUCCUUCGGGACACAGAGACAAGUGGUGCAUGGUUGUCGUCAGCUCGUGUCGUGAGAUGUUGGGUUAAGUCCCGCAACGAGCGCAACCCUUAUGGUCAGUUACUACGCAAGAGGACUCUGGCCAGACUGCCGUUGACAAAACGGAGGAAGGUGGGGAUGACGUCAAAUCAUCAUGCCCUUUAUGACUUGGGCUACACACGUACUACAAUGGCGUUAAACAAAGAGAAGCAAGACCGCGAGGUGGAGCAAAACUCAGAAACAACGUCCCAGUUCGGACUGCAGGCUGCAACUCGCCUGCACGAAGUCGGAAUUGCUAGUAAUCGUGGAUCAGCAUGCCACGGUGAAUACGUUCCCGGGCCUUGUACACACCGCCCGUCACACCAUGAGAGCCGGGGGGACCCGAAGUCGGUAGUCUAACCGCAUGGAGGACGCCGCCGAAGGUAAAACUGGUGAUUGGGGUGAAGUCGGAACAAGGU